rnacentral:lncRNA from 1 species
AAAGUAAAAAAUAUCACUAUUUUUGAGACAGAGGGAGUAGGUUGGUGUAGCUCGAUAUUUGUCUUACUCAUACAGUCAUAUCCUGUUCAUAAUAUAUUGGUUAUUAAAAAAAAAAUCUAAUAGCCAAAAUAAACUUCGAUCUUGUUUAGUUCAUUCCAAAAUCCAAAAACUUUUCCAGAUUCUCUAUCACAUUAAAUCUUGUGGCAC